AGAACGAACGCUGGCGGCAGGCUUAACACAUGCAAGUCGAGCGCCCCUCACGGGGAGCGGCAGACGGGUGAGUAACGCGUGGGAAUCUACCCAACUCUACGGAAUAACUCAGGGAAACUUGUGCUAAUACCGUAUACGCCCUUCGGGGGAAAGAUUUAUCGGAGUUGGAUGAGCCCGCGUUGGAUUAGCUAGUUGGUGAGGUAAAGGCUCACCAAGGCGACGAUCCUUAGCUGGUCUGAGAGGAUGAUCAGCCACACUGGGACUGAGACACGGCCCAGACUCCUACGGGAGCAGCAGUAGGGAAUAUUGGACAA
rnacentral:rRNA from 1 species